rnacentral:tRNA from 1 species
GGAGAGAUGCGUGAGCGGUUGAAACGGCAGUCCUGGAAAGACUGUAGCUGAGAAAUCGGCUCGGGGGUUCGAAUCCCCCUCUCUCCG